ACUCUCCUCUUCUUCUUCUCUCGGCAUUCCAUGGCAAGGCACCAGACCCAACCACCACCGGCCACCAGUUUUGACGCGCGGCAGCUUAUUGGUUUCGCCUUGCUCCGACGACCUCAACUGCCAAGAGGCACCGCCAAACUCGCCGUCAAUCGUUCGGAAUCGCCAGUCAAAGAUUUGGUCCGUCAACUUUGACUGUGUUUUCCGGCCAACUCCGACCACCUCUUGACGAGUGGUUGAUACCCUUGGAACCAGCGUGGAGAGAGGAACAAAACCCACUAAUUCAUUCCGGUCAACUCACCGUUUUUCUCCGGCAAGAUUUUGGGUAUUUCCGCCCUUUAGAAGCGUUUUCUGGCGACACUGGAGGUCAUUUGGGCGAAGGAGCUGUACUUUCGUGAUGUACUCAUCGAGAGGAUCGUUUUGAUAUAUGCUAUGCAUAUAUUCGUCGAUGUUUCCGGUACCACCACCAACCGCUAUAGUGCACCGCUUGGGACAAGCGUGAUAUUAAAAUCGGACUAAAUCAUUCUAAGAUCAUCGAUAAGCUUAGGAGCGUUGCUUUGAGCUCGGAUUAAAUUCUAAGGAGGUAUCUAAAGAGGAGCCUAGUGACGCGAACGUGGAAAAGUAUGAAUUGUUGCUGAAGCCAAGGUGUUUAGUGCCAUAGUCCUAUCUUUUGAACAUUGUAUGUAUUUAAUUUGGAACCUAUCGGUCUGAACAUCUAAAUUAGCUAUGUCCUAGUUAGAAAUGAGGAAUGGUGGAUGCUAAGUAUUAUUUUGGAUAUUUUAUGACUUAUUAAAUUUAAUUGUUUGGUGACUACAUAACUGUGGGGAUAUUAUUAUUCUAUGUAUUAAGAUAAAUGAUCCUACUUUUAUCCGUAAUAUUUUCAUAUAUAA